rnacentral:rRNA from 1 species
AGAGUUUGAUCCUGGCUCAGGACGAACGCUGGCGGCACGCUUAACACAUGCAAGUCGAACGAGAGAAGAGGAGCUUGCUUUUCUGAUCUAGUGGCGGACGGGUGAGUAACACGUGAGCAAUCUGCCUUUCAGAGGGGGAUACCGAUUGGAAACGAUCGUUAAUACCGCAUAACAUAAUUGAACCGCAUGAUUUGAUUAUCAAAGAUUUAUCGCUGAAAGAUGAGCUCGCGUCUGAUUAGCUAGUUGGUAAGGUAACGGCUUACCAAGGCGACGAUCAGUAGCCGGACUGAGAGGUUGAUCGGCCACAUUGGGACUGAGACACGGCCCAGACUCCUACGGGAGGCAGCAGUGGGGAAUAUUGCACAAUGGAGGAAACUCUGAUGCAGCGAUGCCGCGUGAGGGAAGAAGGUUUUAGGAUUGUAAACCUCUGUCUUCAGGGACGAAAAAAGACGGUACCUGAGGAGGAAGCUCCGGCUAACUACGUGCCAGCAGCCGCGGUAAUACGUAGGGAGCGAGCGUUGUCCGGAAUUACUGGGUGUAAAGGGAGCGUAGGCGGGAUCGCAAGUCAGAUGUGAAAACUAUGGGCUUAACCCAUAAACUGCAUUUGAAACUGUGGUUCUUGAGUGAAGUAGAGGUAAGCGGAAUUCCUAGUGUAGCGGUGAAAUGCGUAGAUAUUAGGAAGAACAUCAGUGGCGAAGGCGGCUUACUGGGCUUUAACUGACGCUGAGGCUCGAAAGCGUGGGGAGCAAACAGGAUUAGAUACCCUGGUAGUCCACGCCGUAAACGAUGAUUACUAGGUGUGGGGGGACUGACCCCUUCCGUGCCGCAGCAAACGCAAUAAGUAAUCCACCUGGGGAGUACGACCGCAAGGUUGAAACUCAAAGGAAUUGACGGGGGCCCGCACAAGCAGUGGAGUAUGUGGAUUAAUUCGAAGCAACGCGAAGAACCUUACCAGGUCUUGACAUCGUAUGCAUAGCUCAGAGAUGAGUGAAAUCUCUUCGGAGACAUAUAGACAGGUGGUGCAUGGUUGUCGUCAGCUCGUGUCGUGAGAUGUUGGGUUAAGUCCCGCAACGAGCGCAACCCUUACUGUUAGUUGCUACGCAAGAGCACUCUAGCAGGACUGCCGUUGACAAAACGGAGGAAGGUGGGGAUGACGUCAAAUCAUCAUGCCCCUUAUGACCUGGGCCUCACACGUACUACAAUGGCUGUCAACAGAGGGAAGCAAAGCCGCGAGGUGGAGCGAACCCCUAAAAGCAGUCUUAGUUCGGAUUGUAGGCUGCAACCCGCCUACAUGAAGUCGGAAUUGCUAGUAAUCGCAGAUCAGCAUGCUGCGGUGAAUACGUUCCCGGGCCUUGUACACACCGCCCGUCACGCCAUGGGAGUCGGUAACACCCGAAGCCUGUAGUCUAACCGCAAGGAGGACGCAGUCGAAGGUGGGAUUGAUGACUGGGGUGAAGUCGUAACAAGGUA